rnacentral:lncRNA from 1 species
AUGGGGAGGGGGCUCCCAGGCUCCUGCACAGACAGAGCCGCUGGAGGCGUGGGGAGGCCCGGGUGGGGGCUGACCCCCCCACCCCUCAGAACUCAUCCCCUGCAGGGGGCACCCAGCCCCAAGCACCAGGGGGAAAUCUCAGGGCUGGGCCGGAAGCCCCCUCUCGCCCUCCUCAGGGGAGCACGUGCUCACCCCACAAGGCCCCCUGGGGCUGGGCCUGCGUCCUUAGUGGGCGAGGGUGCACCCAGGGCUUCCCCCCACCAGCAGCAGCCCCGGCCUCUGAGCUGGGGGCAAGCACUGUCCGCCUCAUCGUUCCACCAGAGGCCAGGGGCAGCUGUCCCCCUCUCUGCCCUGCUGAGCCUCAGGUCCCCGCAGGCCGACAAGGGAGCCCCAGUUAAGCUCCCAGGCUCUGGUGGCUGGACACACCCCUUCCUGACACCUGGCCCCGGCCCUGAGGAACCUGGGAGAAUGGGCCGAGCCAGGUGGCAGGAGGUGGAGGCACGGCUAUGGCCUGGUGUCACCUCCACCCAAGACCCAAGCCCUGCCCAUGUCCCCACCCAAGGGUCAGAGAUCUCUGAGAGUGACAGGUUCAGGCCCUGGACCUGGGUCUCCGGCAGAACUCAGGGGUCCACUGGGGCUUCCGGGCCGGACCAAGGCAGGGGUCAGGAGCAAGCAGGCCAGGGCACCUGCAGAGGCUCCGGCCCACACCGAUGCUCUUCCCCUCCCGGGGGGGCCUCCGACCCCCUACCCACCCAGAGCUCCACCAACCGGAGCUGGGGGCCCGACAAGCCCUGUGGGGCUGCAGGCGGUCCCUCCCUCCCUCCCUCCCGGCCGGCUUCUGACAGUGGCUCCCGGGAGAAUUCGAACCCGACAACGAUGGGGCGCCCCAGGCGGUGGGGGGUGGGGAGUGGACGCGGCGGCGGCGGCGGCCACGGUAGCGUGACAGUUCACCCGUGCGCGCGCCCUCCGUCUUUUGCAGUCUGGGUCUCUCCUCUGCUGUGGCACUGCGAUCUGUGCGUAUUAAACGACCUAUGUAUGCUUCGCGCGGCCGGU